AUAAACCUUCCUGUUAGAUGCUAAUAGAAGCUCAACGUGUGUCUCAUCUUUUCUGUAUCACAGGGAACCCAGUUGGCGUGAGAGCGCCUGGCUCGGCUUGGCCCCAGCCGCCCUCCUCAGGUCAGAGCAGAACGGCAGGAUGGAGACUCUUUCUGACAUCUGGAUCAACUUGGUUUGUGUCCUGUCUCAGCACACUGUGUGGACAAGCUGCUUCCCUACGUGACCCCGUCGAUACUCAGCUCUGAAGUCCCACAGCAGCUGAUCAGACGAGCAGGAAAACAGCCACAGGUCACAGUCCUGCUGCGGGACACCGACCGGAGGCACCGGGACUUGUUGAGUUGAGCCGUGGAGCUAAUGAAGCUAUUAGCCUCAUCUGGACCUUCAGCUUGUUUUCUCCACCGAACCAUUUAGUGGAAGGACGCUCGCCACCAGCGCCUAAUGAUGUCAGCAUUAACCUUUCCUCCCAAACAAGCUGUUUAAUCAGUAACGGACCUCUACCUAAUUCUUUUCUCUAAAUUAUGGAAGAAAA